rnacentral:rRNA from 1 species
AUACGUAGGGGGCGAGCGUUGUCCGGAAUGAUUGGGCGUAAAGGGCGCGUAGGCGGCCCGGUAAGUCUGGAGUGAAAGUCCUGUUUUUAAGAUGGGAAUUGCUUUGGAUACUGUCGGGCUUGAGUGCAGGAGAGGUAAGUGGAAUUCACAGUGUAGCGGUGACAUGCGUAGAGAUUGGGAGGAACACCAGUGGCGAAGGCGACUUACUGGACUGUAACUGACGCUGAGGCGCGAAAGUGUGGGGAGCAAACAGGAUUAGAUACCCUGGUAGUCCACACUGUAAACGAUGAAUGCUAGGUGUAGGGGGUAUCGACCCCUUCUGUGCCGCAGUCAACACAAUAAGCAUUCCGCCUGGGGAGUACGGCCGCAAGGUUGAAACUCAAAUGAAUUGGCGGGG